rnacentral:rRNA from 1 species
GAGUAUCCUAAGGCCAGCGAGAGAACUGUUGUUAAGGAACUCGGCAAAAUGACCCCGUAACUUAGGGAUAAGGGGUGCCACCAUCAGGUGGCCGCAGGGAAUAGGCCCAAGCGACUGUUUACCAAAAGCAUAGGUUUCUGCUAAGUCGCAAGACGAUGUAUAGGAGCUGACGCCUGCCCGGUGCUGGAAGGUUAAGGGGAUCUGUUAGAGCAAUCGAAGCAGUGA